rnacentral:rRNA from 1 species
AUACGGAGGGGGCGAGCAUUACUCGGAAUCACUGGGCGUAAAGCGCGCGCAGGCGGUCUUUUAAGUUGGAUGUGAAAGCCUACGGCUCAACCGUAGAACUGCAUCCAAAACUAUUAGACUAGAGUGUGGGAGAGGAAGAUGGAAUUAGUUGUGUAGGGGUAAAAUCCGUAGAGAUAACUAGGAAUACCAAAAGCGAAGGCAAUCUUCUGGAACACUACUGACGCUAAGGCGUGAAAGCGUGGGGAGCAAACAGGAUUAGAAACCCUAGUAGUCC